rnacentral:rRNA from 1 species
UGGCGCACGGGUGAGUAACGCGUGGGUAAUCUUCCUUUAAAUUCGGGAUAACUCGCCGAAAGGCGGGCUAAUACCGGAUGAUAUCUUUGAAACCUCGGUUUAAAAGAUCAAAGGUGGCCUCUAUAUAUAAGCUACUGUUUGAAGAUGAGCCCGCGUACCAUUAGCUUGUUGGUAGGGUAAUGGCCUACCAAGGCUACGAUGGUUAGCUGGUCUGAGAGGAUGAUCAGCCACACUGGAACUGACACACGGUCCAGACUCCUACGGGAGGCAGCAGUGAGGAAUUUUGCGCAAUGGGGGAAACCCUGACGCAGCAACGCCGCGUGAGUGAUGAAGGCCUUCGGGUCGUAAAGCUCUGUCAAGUGGGAAGAAACUGGUUGAUUAUAACACAAUUAACCGCUGACGGUACCACUGAAGGAAGCACCGGCUAACUCCGUGCCAGCAGCCGCGGUAAUACGGAGGGUGCAAGCGUUAUUCGGAAUCAUUGGGCGUAAAGCGCGCGUAGGCGGUUUUUUAAGUCGGAUGUGAAAGCCCGGGGCUCAACCCCGGAAGUGCAUUUGAAACUGAAAGACUUGAGUAUGGGAGAGGGAAGUGGAAUUCCUGGUGUAGAGGUGAAAUUCGUAGAUAUCAGGAGGAACACCGGUGGCGAAGGCGACUUCCUGGACCAAUACUGACGCUGAGGCGCGAAGGCGUGGGUAGCAAACAGGAUUAGAUACCCUGGUAGUCCACGCAGUAAACGGUGAACACUAGGUGUAGCGGGUAUUGACCCCUGCUGUGCCGAAGUUAACGCAUUAAGUGUUCCGCCUGGGAAGUACGGUCGCAAGAUUAAAACUCAAGGAAUUGACGGGGGCCCGCACAGCGGUGGAGCAUGUGGUUUAAUUCG